GGGGAGGUCGCUCAGUUGGCAGAGCGCCCCGGCCCGAGGCUGGGGAGACGCAGGUUCGAUUCCUGCCCGCCCCC
rnacentral:tRNA from 1 species